CUACGGGUUGCUGCAGCGAGGAAUAUUGCACAAUGGGGGCAACCCUGAUGCAGCAACGCCGCGUGGAGGAUGACGCAUUUCGGUGUGUAAACUCCUUUUAUCAGAGAAGAACCAUGACGGUAUCUGAUGAAUAAGCUCCGGCUAACUCCGUGCCAGCAGCCGCGGUAAUACGGAGGGAGCAAGCGUUAUUCGGAAUCACUGGGCGUAAAGGACGCGUAGGCCGGUCUGUAAGUCAGGUGUGAAAUGCAAUGGCUCAACCAUUGAACUGCACUUGAAACUGCGGACCUAGAGUAUGGAAGGGGCAGAUGGAAUUAGUGGUGUAGGGGUAAAAUCCGUAGAUAUCACUAGGAAUACCUAAAGCGAAGGCGAUCUCCUGGAACAUUACUGACGCUAAGGCGUGAAAGCGUGGGGAGCAAACAGGAUUAGAUACCCUCGUAGUC
rnacentral:rRNA from 1 species